UGGGCUCAGAUGGCUGCAGGCCCUUGCUGCUCUUGCUUCCUAAGGCUUCCAAGGUGAUGCUUUGGGAUCCUCCACUGAGUCAGGUGCCUCUCCCUCCAUCCCCUUGCCUUGCUUAUGCACAGCUGCUCUGGCCAGGGCCUGCCCCUGGGCAGUCCCCGUGCCUCCCCUUGAACGGUGUCUUCUGGAGUUGGGGAAUGACACACAGGUUUGGCACAUGGUUCUGAAAACAUGUCCAAAACCCCUUUGUAGGGGUCCAAACCUCAGGUUUGUGGGAUGCAACCCCUCUUGUUGCAUCCAUGUGAUGUCUCAGAACCUGAUUGGACAUUUUUGUCUGGCGGAGGUAUUUUGCUCAAGGAUGAUGCUCUGCUUUAUGUUCCAGAUGUCCUGCUUAUCCAGGAUAAUCAGCCUACCUGAGCCAAGAUGUUUCUCUUCAAAGAUUCAAGACUGCCAUAAAUAAGAAACACCUGGGACAGACAUCCUUGAGAUGAGGCAUAUGUCCAAAACAGCUGAUCAGAAGAGACCGAGUGUCCUUCUGCCCAAACCUGGGUAAUCCACGAGUGGGAUGCCUCACCAGAUGACCACCGAAGACCUCCGUUCGAGUGCAGAAGAUUCAAAUAUGUUAUGUAACCUUGUACUUCCAUAGCCCUACGAACAAGUGACAGAUGUGUUUCAGGAGAUUUGAAGUUGUCACCAGGUUUGCGCGACCCAGAUGGGACAUUCGGACUGAAUUUCACCCAGCUUCUUGCUGCUGCCAGGAGGGUGUUGUAACACCAGUUAAUUUUUCCAGGGACUCCCCUUGCAAAUCCCUGACAGAAAGCCCUCCUUGCAGAAAGGCGGUUCUGUCCUGUCAGAGCUGGGAGGAUGCGUCUGGGGAGACAGAACCCCUUCUGCAGCUGGAAGAACCAGCACGCCGCCAGAGUCCACCUUUUCCUCCAGACUGGAUCCAUUUUUCUCAGCUGUAGCUGCCGAAACACACUGUGCAGUGCGAUGUGAAUUCAUGCACACAUGUGGAGACAGAGACCUUCUGACAUUAAUGAGUAAUUGGCAUUGCUUUCACAGGAGAAAUGAUUGAAGUGUAACAAAGUUAGAUAACAUGGAGAAAGUACGUAAUAAAAAGAUUUUUGUUUCAUAGUAAAAACAGCAUGCUUAAAAUUUGCCUAUUAAAUUAAUUGCUCUGCAAAUUCCCUGCGAAACAUUAAGUCUCAGGGGGUCAUUUGUCUCAUUUGUCAAAUCUUCAGUGGUUUCGCUGAAAGUAAUUUAAACUUGUGGAGAAUUUAAGUAAAAUUUGUAAGUGUACAUUAUCUCCCCACAGCUUUACACUGUCUUGACCCUUCUGGCUAACCCUGGCUGCUGCUCAUCAAAUACUGAGCAGCUGUUAGCAUAAUUGCAUUCACUGCACAUCCCCGUGAAAGAUAAUAAAGGCUGGGCUUCCCAGGCAGGUCAGGCAAACAAGAGGAGCUUAAGGAAAAAAACUCUGAGGUGAACUGUCACUUUUCCUCGGCAAUUGUGUCAUCCAGAGAGACUGGAACAUUGGGUACCAGCUCAGUUACGAGUUUUUUUGAUGUUGCUGCCCUUGGAGCUUGUAAAAAAGAAAAGAUAGGUUAGAGCAUUAAAUCAAACAAGUAUUCCUAGUUCUUAAAAGUAUUGAAGAGUAUUCAGCAGCCCCAGUUUGAGAGUGGUUCAGAAGGAGAGACAACGAUGAUGGAGUUGAGAAGAUCCAUAGGUGUCUUUACCGCACUCUUGUGAGAAGCUUUCUUUGUAAGGCUGCCUCUGUCCUGCUCUUUUUAAUGCACAGGAAGCUAAUGCACAUGUAAGAAGAAGAUAUUGUUUCCUAACACUGUUUCUAAAUACUUGGCUGACAAUUACUAAGGCUUAGAUGGAGGCAUCGUUUUAAUUUUAAAGAACACUGUGCACAUGUUCUCUGACCAGGCGGGUGAAGUUAUAAAACUUAAAACUCUUUUGUAGAGGGCAAAGGCCUGUGAAAGGUCACCAAUGGUCUUUGGCAUUUCUGAACGUAAGUCGUAGUUUGUGUAGAUUUAUCCCAUUAGAGGUAAGCUUUACUGGAAUGGUUUGAAUCUACGUCAUGAGUUUGGUGGUCAUGCAUGAACUUAAAUGUGUUUGGUAUGAUUAAUGUCAGCUUAAGUUAAUUCAUUACAUGUACUGUUAGAAAUGAAUUGUGGUGUUUUUUGUCUAGCUUCACCAGCAUGAGUGUGAGGAGCCUUGCCCAGCCUUGGUCAGCCUGGUGCAUGGUGCAUGGCAGAGUCUUCAGGAGAGCUGCCAUCCCCACUUAGUGCCUGUGGAAUGGAAAUCCAUUUUAGCAAACCUGGAGAAGUAGCUAGCAGUAGUGCUGUGAAAAUUUUUAUUAAAGGUCUGAGAAUGGUAAUUAUGUUUACAUACCAGCAGUCUGAUUAAACGUAAACUAAUUAUGCAAAAAGCUUAAACUGUGACCCGAGUUACUCUUGCUGAUUCACAGUUGAAUUUCAGCAGAGUUUUUGGAUAACAUAUUAUAAUUGCAGAAAGUUUCCUUGUUUUUUUUAUUUAGAUGGUGGGAUAGUAGUCAUAUUUGAUGAUAUUACUGGAAUAAUGUGAUUUUCCCUUCUCGCUUUCCCUAUUUCUGUCAUCCAGCCUCCAGCAUAACCUUCAGCUGUUUUUGGAUUCAGCUCUUCAAAACCCUAUUAAUAAAGCAAGAAGUAUUCAGUUCCACUUGUACAAGAAAUGGGGAAAUAUGAAAUCUUUCUAUAGAUAAUUACACUUUUGGAGCAAACAUGAAUUUGGAAGGAUUUGCUAUGCUGGCUUUACAGGAGUUAUGUUCUGCCCAGUGCUCAAGUUCAGCCAGUAACCUGCAAGAGUCCCAAAGACUUAAAGGGUGUGCAUGGUAUCACAGUCUGACAACUGCAGGUUUGAAGCAUUAAUACACAGCAAAAUCACAGUAUGCAGGGGUAGUUCACGUUGAAACAGACCUCGGGAGAUAACUGGUCACCCUCUCUGCACAGAGCAGGACUAACUUCAGUGUUGCUCCAGUCCUGAAAGUUUUGCAAAGCACAUCUCUUUGUACACUAUUGCAGCAUCAGUGUUUCCACUAGGGAACAAAGCUCACUGCAUUUGAAUGAAAGAAUAGCUGCAUGAAACUUUUGUGUGCACAUAUUUCCUUUUGAUGCAAUAUAAAUCAGUCUCAGAGCCUGAAUCACAAGCCUUGGUGUAGCAUCCCAUGCUCCUUUCAUGGGAUUUCAAUAUCAAAAUCAAAAUGCAUAGAAAAACUCAGAUUUUUAUUCAUCAGUUAACAUUAUCCCACCACUUCAGAUUUGCAGCUUUUAUGUCUAUUUCAAUGCUCCUUUAAAAGUGUGAACAAGUGCAGCAACAAAAGAACCAAUAAUUCAAUUAGAACUGACUAGUGUUAUAACAUUGUGAAGAGAUUAUUGUAAUUCUGAAAAUGUGUUUUUCUUUACACUUAAAGGCUGGAAAUCCCUACAGUUCUAAAAAUGUAACAUUUUAAACUGAUCCCUGGAUUGUUCUCAGAGUUAAGUCUGCCUUUUCUCAUUCGUAGUCCAAAAGGAGCAGAGCUCUAAUUCACUGCAGUAGCUUUUGCUCAUUUGCCAAGUGACUUUGAUGGGAGCUGCUCCAGCAGGUUGCUUGCUUCUGUAUGCUGUAGGCUGCUGACAAGUCCCACAGCAGAAGCAUCACAGGAAAGUAUGUUUUCUGUUUUCCUAUGGGAGUUUAUUUCUCUGCUUCUCUUUGUUGCCCACGUGGAAGAGAAGACUGGCAGAAACAUUCUGCAGAGAUUAAAUAUGGCCACAUCUCAGUUUGUUUCCAUUGUUUUUAUCAUAGCUACUAACAUGAUUUUUUUUCCAGUGCUUGGGAUGUUUCAGUGUCAGUUAAAAUCUCUCUGUAUCUUUUCAAAUGUUUUUCGUUAUCCAUUUGUUAAGUCCAAGCCUUCUGAACCAGUUUCCUGGUCUCCAUUCUUCCCAUCUACAUUUCCUGAAAAUUUCUGAACUGCUGGAACAGCAUUUAUUUUUUGCGAAAAAUAUCUGCAUUUGGCAAAAAUAUAAGUAAAUAUAGUUCAUCCUGAUAAAUUGACCUCAGUACUCUUGAAAAAAAGUAUAAAUCGAUAUCGGAACGUGGAUUAUUGCAGUGAUAUUUAUAGUACGUCAUCUGUUAAUUAUGCAGAUUCUUAGGUUUUAAAUGAUUACAAUACAAUAAAUACAAUGACUAUAAACAAUUGCAUUCGGGAGGAAAGUCUUCAAUUUCUAGUAUUAUUGGCAAGCAGUUUCUAUAGCUGCAUGGAAGCUUGUUGUUUUUAUGUAUUCACUGUUGGUGUGGUGUUUUUGUUGCUUUGUUUUGCUUUGUGAGGGAUAAUUUAAAACCACUGGAAGUGAUUGGGGUUCAGGAGCAGCAUAUGUAGAAUUUUGGUCAUGCAGCGAGUUGUGGUUUCUGCUGUGUUAAAGAAUUGGCAUGCACAUAUACUCGUGCAGCCUGAGCUUGUUUGACUCCCAUAAAUUAGGCCUUCCAAACCUUGCAAAAACAAAAACUUCCAUUUUUUUUUCUUUAUUAUUGUUAUUUUUUCCCCUUAAAUAGUGCAGUGCAGCAGCCAGCCCAGGGAGCCUUUCAAAGCAUCUCUACUUGUGGUGCUUUGCAAAAAGGGGAUGCACAAAUAUCCCCCUCUGCUCAGUAAGUGCAGAUGCCUUUGUCAACAAGUUUUUCACAGGUACAGAAAGACUGCAUAGCAUCCUUCAAAGAUCCUAGAGAUCAAUGGUAUUUGUUACAUUGUUCUUGGAUAUCUCUUCAGUAUUCAGGAAAAGGAGUAUGAGGUACUCAAAUGCUUUAUCUAGAGAGAUGAAAAAGUGCUGUUUUGUCUUUAAAAUCCAGGGCCUUCUGCUGUGGGCCUUUGCUGUCUCUUAAUUAAGUACUCUCCUUUGUUUUACUGUUGUAAUUACUUUUUUAUACUUAAAGAAGUUCUGACUUCAGCUAUGGAAACUUAACUGCCGUGCUGAUUUUCAACCUCUCCAAGAUUAGCAAUAAUAUGUACCCUACAGCUUUAAUUUUCUGACUGUUGGUAGGAUUUGUUUAAGGAGGUACUUACCAAAGCACCGUCCCUGGGGAGUUGGCCAAAAUAAAGGCUUUUUCAAACUUUUGAAUUAUUUUCAGAGUUUCUUUUAAACAGCCAAGGAGGAGUGAUCUCUUAAAGAUUUUUUUUCAAAGCCAUUGGACUAGAUUUUGAUUAUCAUGUCUCAGGAAACUUCUCUAUUCCACCUAGUAUUAAUGUGAUAAAUAAAGUGCAUAUCACACAAGAGAUUUAGGCCUUGCUGUCAGUCUUUAAUGAAUCAGAACUUCGUUUCAUGUUGCCAGAUAUUCUGGUCUCCUUUUCACUCAUGUUUAUCAGGACACUCCUAUGGUGUAUAAUCAGUACUGACAAUCUCAGAAUCUCAGCCUUUUAAUUGUUUACUGCUUUGGUAUCUUGUUUUAAAAUCUGACCUGCCUGAAUGGACUGGAGAUUUAUUUGGGGAAAAAAAAAUCCUUUAGACAAAUAAACAAAAAAAUGAUUAAUUCUUGUUUACAUUAGGUGGAUCAGCAAAUCACAUCACUUUCCCAGUUUAUCACUUUUGCCUUGUGAGUUCAAACCUGAGGCUUUUUCAAUCUGCUGUUGCUUUUGUCAACUUCUUUAAGUUAAUCUCAAUGAAGAGUCAAACCUUUUCUUCUGAAAGCCUAUUUGUGUGGCUUGGGGAAUGAUUUUGUUCUCAUAUGCAUUUUGGCCAUGGUGCUGUUAAGUUAUGAGCAGGGAUAUUGUAGUAGUAGCCAUUUUGUUAGGAAUCGGACAGCGAAAAACUUAAUGCUGGCAUCUGUUACUGCUUACUGCUUUAGAUCAAGUUCUCAAGUUUGUCUUAUGUCGGAUAACUAAUUGUUGGGAAAAGAGUUCAGACUGAGGGCUCCGGAUUCAGAUAAAGCAAUCUCUCUGUAGUUGUAUGGCUGCAGGCACAA